AAAGAUAAAAGUCCUUCUACUGAAAUUGUGGCACAGACAAUUUUUGAAAUCGUACAAGCUCAUCUUA
rnacentral:snoRNA from 1 species